rnacentral:rRNA from 1 species
AUUGAACGCUGGCGGCAGGCUUAACACAUGCAAGUCGAACGAUGACUAACUAGCUUGCUAGUUAUGAUUAGUGGCGGACGGGUGAGUAACAUUUAGGAAUCUGCCUAGUAGUGGGGGAUAGCUCGGGGAAACUCGAAUUAAUACCGCAUACGACCUACGGGUGAAAGGGGGCGCAAGCUCUUGCUAUUAGAUGAGCCUAAAUCAGAUUAGCUAGUUGGUGGGGUAAAGGCCUACCAAGGCGACGAUCUGUAACUGGUCUGAGAGGAUGAUCAGUCACACCGGAACUGGAACACGGUCCGGACUCCUACGGGAGGCAGCAGUGGGGAAUAUUGGACAAUGGGGGCAACCCUGAUCCAGCCAGGCCGCGUGUGUGAAGAAGGCCUUUUGGUUGUAAAGCACUUUAAGCAGGGAGGAGAGGCUAAUGGUUAAUACCCAGUAGAUUAGACGUUACCUGCAGAAUAAGCACCGGCUAACUCUGUG